rnacentral:tRNA from 1 species
GGCAACGUGGCGGAGUGGUUAACGCGCUAGCCUAGAAAGCUAGUUCCUUCGGGAGCGUCAGUUCGAGUCUGGCCGUUGUCG